UAGAGCAGAAAAUUGACAUUUUA
rnacentral:piRNA from 1 species